GACGAAGGGGGCUAGCGUUGUUCGGAAUUACUGGGCGUAAAGCGAGUGUAGGUGGUUGUCCAAGUUGGAUGUGAAAGCCUUGAGCUCAACUCAAGAAAUGCAUUCAGGACUGGGCGGCUAGAGGACCGGAGAGGAUAGUGGAAUUCCCAGUGUAGUGGUGAAAUACGUAGAGAUUGGGAAGAACACCAGUGGCAAAGGCGGCUAUCUGGACGGUUUCUGACACUAAGACUCGAAAGCGUGGGGAGCAAACAGG
rnacentral:rRNA from 1 species